GUGCUUGCUUUAGCAGCACAUAUACUAAAAUUGGAACAAUACAGAGAAGAUGAGCAUGGCCCCGCACAAGGAUGACAAACAAAUUCAUGAAGCAUUCCACAUAUGU
ensembl:snRNA U6 U6 spliceosomal RNA